UAGAGUUUGAUCAUGGCUCAGAGUGAACGCUGGCGGCGUAGAUUAGGCAUGCAAGUCGAGCGAUGAUUUUUUUAAUCAUAGCGGCAGACUGGUGAGUAACACGUGAGUAAUUUACCUCUAAGUCGGGGAUAGCCUUGCGAAAGCGAGGGUAAUACCCGAUGUGUUUACGGCUGCAUAAGCAGCUGUAAGUAAAGGAGGCCCGCAAGGGUUUUUGUUUAGAGAUGAGCUCGCGUCCUAUCAGCUAGUUGGUGGGGUAAUGGCCUACCAAGGCGUUUGACGGGUAGCUGGCCUGAGAGGGUGGUCAGCCACAUGGGGACUGAGACACUGCCCCAACUCCUACGGGAGGCUGCAGUCGAGGAUAUUUAGCAAUGGACGAAAGUCUGACUAUGUGACGCCGCGUGAGGGAUGAAGGUCUUCGGAUUGUAAACCUCUUUCGAUAGGGAAGAAAACCUGUUCUUAACGGAACAGACUGACGGUACCUAGAGAAGAAGCCACGGCCAACUCUGUGCCAGC
rnacentral:rRNA from 1 species